UCAAGUGGGCACAGGGGCUGUAGGACCCAACCUCAGAGUCCAUGUGCCUGGGGUGGCUGCUGGGUGAGUAUUGUAGGAAGUGGUCUCAAGGGAGGAUAUAGGAAGGUAAGUUUGCAAGUGCCUGCCAGUGAUCAGCUCGGGGACAGCUGGCAGUUGCGGUCCACAGGAAACCCAUGGGAAAUGGAAGCCUAGUUCUCACCUGGCCUGCUUUACUAACCAAGUGAUAAUUUGAUGAUUAUUC
rnacentral:lncRNA from 1 species